UACGGAGGGUGCAAGCGUUAUCCGGAUUCACUGGGUUUAAAGGGUGCGUAGGUGGGAAGGUAGUCCGGGGUGAAAUCUCCGGGCUUAACCCGGAAACUGCCAUUGAUACUAUUUGUCUUGAAUACUGUGGAGGUCAGCGGAAUAUGUCAUGUAGCGGUGAAAUGCUUAGAUAUGACAUAGAACACCAAUUGCGAAGGCAGCUGGCUACACAAAUAUUGACACUGAGGCACGAAAGCGUGGGGAUCAAACAGG
rnacentral:rRNA from 1 species